AGUGAACGCUGGCGGCAGGCCUAAUACAUGCAAGUCGAACGGACACACAAUAAGCUUUCUCCUCUAACGGUAGCGAGUGGCGGAUGGGUGACGCGUGCAUAGGCUUCCUCUUUUACUUGGGGAACAUCGUAGGACCACAUCUGAUACCAGAGAAUAUAUUCUACGGCAUAAUGCAAGAGUUAAUGGCAGUUUUGCCGUCUCAUAUAGAUGGAUCCGCGCCGCAUUAGCUGGUUGGUAAGGUAACGGCUUACCCAAGCAACGAUGCGUAGCUGGCCUGAGAGGGUGAUCAGCCACACUGGAACUGAGACACGGUCCAGACUCCUACGGGAGGCAGCAGUAGGGAAUAUUCCGCAAUGGGCGCAAGCCUGACGGAGCAACGCCGCGUGAGUGAUGAAGGUCUUCGGAUCGUAAAACCCUGUUAUUAGGGAAGAAAAACUGUGUAAGAAAACACGCACGUCCUGACGGUACCUAAUCAGAAAGCACCGGCUAACUACGUG
rnacentral:rRNA from 1 species